GGCCUGUUUCAAAAUGGCGGCCUACAAAAUCGCAACGGUAGACACGAAUUUUUGCAAGUUUACGUGGAAAUUCUCGACGUACACGGCCCUAGGGCGACAAAAAAGCGAGAAAAUAAUUGAAGCAGACUUCAUAUACGCGUCAUGCAAGAAAUUUCUUCUUACAGCGUCACGCAAGAAAUUUAUUCUAUAAACGUUACGCAAAAAGCUUCGUCUAACAGCGUCACACAAGAAAAUUCUUCUACCAUUGUCACCCCAGAAACUUCUUCUAACAGGGUCACGCAAAUAACUUCUUCUAACAUCGUCACGCAAGAAACUUCAUAGAAUUUGAGUUUAAAGAUGUUGUAAAAAGAAUGAUUUUAAUUGAAAGGUAGCUUAGGCUGUCAUUCAAAGUGUGUGACAGGUCAUUGCACGACCAUAUGGUUUGUCAUGAGGCGGAAUUUCGCUACCUGAGUGACAGAGUUAUCAGCCCCAUUUAUUCUCCUAUUGCGUGACAGUGGUCAAAUGCCCGAUACCAUAGAAUGCGUGAGCCGCAUCAUGCGAUUCAAGAUGCGUGACACACAUGUGUCAUCCAGUGGACAACCGUCAUGACAUAUGGCAUAAAUGUUGUGAGAUUAUAAAAGGAGAUGAAGGGUGGAGUGAAAUAGAAAAAGAUGUAUAAAAUGGUAUAGGAUGGAGAUUUGUGGUCUAUGGCCUUUGCUCCUCCAGUAAGAAGGCGAUGAUCCUCCUCACCAGCAAUGCUACGUAUAAUCGACACUCUGUACAAUAUUAACAGUUGUUUUAAAGUUUUUCGCCAACCAUAGGAGGUGGGAAGAUAUCAUCCCUUAUAUAACAGUUUAGCACAUGGCUUUGCUUAUGUUCCCUUGUCUGCCACAUCUUUUGUAUUCCAUAUUGAAAGAUAAAUCAUGUAAAGAAAUCUCGAAACAACGAUCUAAAAACAAAGGUUUAUAUUCCAUUUUAAGCAAAUUCAAUCGAUCACAAUAGUUCCCUCUAAAUCAGCCGAAGGAAAUGGACGCUAUCUCACACUUGGUAUUUUACUAGGAUGAAAAAAUGGCGGAUGACAGAUUUCUUUUAUAUUUUUUUUCUUAUGAGAUGAUUCCUGUUAUACACACUAUAUACACACGUUAUACAUUCGAGUAAUAUUCUCAAAUAAGCGUUACACUUUUACGGCACUUUUAAGGCACCCCGGAACAUUUUUUUCACACUACCCUACUAAGGGGUGAAGCUCUAGUAAUUUUUUUGCAACCCUUAUGGCAUCACUCUAUUUGUGUAAUAUAAAAAAAUCAAUGAAAUAAUAAAUCAAAUCGCCCGUGACCUA